CUCUGUCCAACCAUUUAGAAUUAGUUUUUUAGCUAACAAUUUUAUAAUUGAUCAUCAAAUGAUUAAUAUGCAUCCUACAUUCAUCGAAAUUGAAGAUGCAUAUGUUUAUUCAAGAAAGUUUGAAGACACUAGAAUUGCAUAUGUUUAUUCAAGAAAGUUUGAAGACACUAGAAUUGCAAUUUUGACCAAUAGAAUUGAAGCCUUAGAAUUUGAAAGACAUAUCCAAUUUAACCAAGUGCUAGCACCCAUAUGCAUUAGAUGCGAUGCACUAGAUCAUGUUGUGGAGGAGAACCCAACCCAAACUAAGUUCAUACAGGAGAGUGUAUUC
rnacentral:lncRNA from 1 species